UACGUAGGUGGCAAGCGUUAUCCGGAUUUACUGGGUGUAAAGGGCGUGUAGGCGGGACUGCAAGUCAGAUGUGAAAACCACGGGCUCAACCUGUGGCCUGCAUUUGAAACUGUAGUUCUUGAGUACUGGAGAGGCAGACGGAAUUCCUAGUGUAGCGGUGAAAUGCGUAGAUAUUAGGAGGAACACCAGUGGCGAAGGCGGUCUGCUGGACAGCAACUGACGCUGAGGCGCGAAAGCGUGGGGAGCGAACAGG
rnacentral:rRNA from 1 species